GAACGCACAUUGCGCCCCUUGGUAUUCCGAGGGGCAUGCCUGUUCGAGCGUCAUUUAUACCAACUCCUCUGCAAAGAGGGUCUUGGACUUCGCCUCUGGGCGGGUCUCAAAAUCAGUGGCGGUGCCUUGAGGCUCUACGCGUAGUAAUACACCCCGCGAUAGAACCCUUAGGGUAUCUUGCCAGCAACCCCCAACUUCUUAGGUUGACCUCGGAUCAGGUAGGGAUACCCGCUGAACUUAAG
rnacentral:misc_RNA from 1 species